rnacentral:rRNA from 1 species
UACGUAGGGCGCAAGCGUUAUCCGGAAUUAUGGGCGUAAAGAGCUCGUAGGCGGUUGUCGCGUCUGCCGUGAAAGUCCGGGGCUCAACUCCGGAUCUGCGGUGGGUACGGGCAGACUAGAGUGAUGUAGGGGAGACUGGAAUUCCUGGUGUAGCGGUGAAAUGCGCAGAUAUCAGGAGGAACACCGAUGGCGAAGGCAGGUCUCUGGGCAUUAACUGACGCUGAGGAGCGAAAGCAUGGGGAGCGAACAGG